GAUGAACGCUGGCGGCGUGCCUAAUACAUGCAAGUCGAGCGAACAGACGAGGAGCUUGCUCCUCUGACGUUAGCGGCGGACGGGUGAGUAACACGUGGAUUACCUACCUAUAAGACUGGGAUAACUUCGGGAAACCGGAGCUAAUACCGGAUAAUAUAUUGAACCGCAUGGUUCAAUAGUGAAAGACGGUUUUGCUGUCACUUAUAGAUGGAUCCGCGCCGCAUUAGCUAGUUGGUAAGGUAACGGCUUACCAAGGCAACGAUGCGUAGCCGACCUGAGAGGGUGCUCGGCCACACUGGAACUGAGACACGGUCCAGACUCCUACGGGAGGCAGCAGUAGGGAAUCUUCCGCAAUGGGCGAAAGCCUGACGGAGCAACGCCGCGUGAGUGAUGAAGGUCUUCGGAUCGUAAAACUCUGUUAUUAGGGAAGAACAAAUGUGUAAGUAACUAUGCACGUCUUGACGGUACCUAAUCAGAAAGCCACGGCUAACUACGUG
rnacentral:rRNA from 1 species